GUUGGUUACGAAAAAUCGGCAGAGGAACUAACCUGAAAGUGACGACACGUACUCGACUUUGUUCAGACCAUUUUGAGGACAAACAUUUCGAGAGAGAUUUAAUGGCAAAUCACUCUCUCUCUAACUACAUGACAGGGUUAUGUGAAUCAUGUUCCCAUGUUGAAGCAAUGCUGUAUGCUAUUGAAGCAGAGGUCAAGUUAUGUAAGUCAGUGACACGCACAGAAGAAAAGGCAAAAU